UUGUUAGUUUUAGUGGGCAUUCGGUGGAUGCCUUGGCACUCAGAGCUGAUGAAGGACGUGGCGGUCUGCGAUAUGCCUUAGGGAGUUGACGAGCGAGCGUUGAUCUAAGGAUUUCCGAAUGGGGGAACCUAGCUGGUGUUAUGGCCAGUUACCACUGCCUGAAUGAAAUAGGGUUGUGGGGGGAACGCGGGGAAGUGAAACAUCUCAGUACCCGUAGGAAAAGAUAUUCCGUGAGUAGUGGCGAGCGAAAGCGGAGGAGGCUAAACCUUGUGCGUGUGAUAGGCGGCGGCCGUUGCGCAUGGGGUGUUGUGGGGCAUGAUCGUCUACCUUCUGCCGGGGGUGGGCAUGGCGUGUUGUUGGUGGUUGAACCUCUUGGGAUGGGGGACCGUAGUGCGUGAUAGUCGCGUAGGCCAGCUGGUGGGGCGCCGUGUGGGUUGUGUUCCCGAGUAGUGCGGGACUCGUGAAAUCUCGUGUGAAUCUGCCAGGACCACCUGGUAAGCCUAAAUACUACUGAGUGACCGAUAGUGCAUAGUACCGUGAGGGAAUGGUGAAAAGUACCCCGGGAGGGGAGUGAAAUAGUACCUGAAACCGUGUGCUUGUAAGCCGUCAGAGCCUUGUGGGGUGAUGGCGUGCCUUUUGAAGAAUGAGCCUGCGAGUCAGUGGCACGUGGCGUGCUUAACCCGUGUGGGGUAUGCGUAGCGAAAGCGAGUCUGAAAUAUGGCGUUUGUCGCGUGUUCUGGACCCGAAGCGGGGUGAUCUACCCAUGGCCAGGUUGAAGCAAGGGUAAGACUUUGUGGAGGACCGAACCCACCAGGGUUGAAAACCUGGGGGAUGAGCUGUGGGUAGGGGUGAAAGGCCAAUCAAACUCCGUGAUAGCUGGUUCUCCCCGAAAUGCAUUUAGGUGCAGCGUUGUGUGGUUCCUGUUGGAGGUAGAGCUACUGGAUGGCCGAUGGGCCCUGUGGGUUACUGACGUCAGCCAAACUCCGAAUGCCAAUAGGGUAGAGCACGGCAGUGAGACUGCGGGGGAUAAGCUUCGUAGUCGAGAGGGAAACAGCCCAGAUCAUCAGCUAAGGCCCCUAAGUGUGCGCUAAGUGGGAAAGGAUGUGGAGUCGCGGUGACAACCAGGAGGUUGGCUUAGAAGCAGCCACCCUUGAAAGAGUGCGUAAUAGCUCACUGGUCAAGUGAUUUCGCGCCGACAAUGUAGCGGGGCUUAAGCGUACCGCCGAAGCUGUGGCAACAACACGGAUAGCUGGCGUCAUUUAAUGAUUGUUGGUGUGUUGUUGGGUAGGGGAGCGUCCUGCAUGAGGUGAAGCCCGGGGGUAACCUCUGGUGGAUUGUGUGGGAGUGAGAAUGCAGGCAUGAGUAGCGAAUCUGCGGUGAGAAUCCGCAGCGCCGAUUGACUAAGGGUUCCAGGGCCAGGUUUAUCCGCCCUGGGUUAGUCGGGUCCUAAGGCGAGGCCGACAGGCGUAGUCGAUGGAUAACCAGUUGAUAUUCUGGUACCGCCUAGCAACCGUCCAAUACCGAGAUCAUCAUGCUAACCAAUUUUGCCGGCCAAUUUCCGUGCCUUUCGGGGUGUGGUUUGAGGCUGGUCUUGGGACCCGGUGGUGGAGGUAAGCGUAUUAACAGGGGUGACGCAGAAAGGUAGCUGCAGUGGGCUGAUGGUUUAGCCUAUUUAAGGUUGUGGCCCGUCUUUCAGGUAAAUCCGGGAGACUUGUGGGUGAGAACUGAUGAGGGACGCUUUUAGAGUGGACUUGUGGUGAUCCUAAGCUGCCGAGAAAAGCCUCGACGCGAGGGGGCAAGGCGCCCGUACCCUAAACCGACUCAGGUGGUCAGGUAGAGUAUACCGAGGCGUUCGAGUGAAUCAUGGUUAAGGAACUCGGCAAAAUUCCUCCGUAACUUCGGGAUAAGGAGGACCCCGUGGUUUCCCAACACCGUGCGUGUUGGUGGGGCCGUGGGGUCGCAGAGAAUAGGGAGAAGCGACUGUUUAUCAAAAACACAGGUGCGUGCGAAGCCGUAAGGCGAUGUAUACGCACUGACGCCUGCCCGGUGC
rnacentral:rRNA from 1 species